CAAGGAUUCAACAUGAACUCUAGUCUUAAUAGUCUCAAAGGAUCAGGCUGAGUCCUCUGGAGGGACUAGAAACAGAUAUGUAAGAGAAAGAAAAGAGAGACCUAUCUUAGAAGUGAUUCGAAGGAGGGUGAAUCACCUUCAAAUUUACAGAGGAACAAGUUAAAUCUUAAAAAGGUGUAGGAAGGAUAGUAACAUAAACAAUACAGUAUUGUAUUGGUCGAAGAAUUGGAACUCUGGGAGGAAGAGACCUCUGUUAUGAAGACCAGUACCUUCCCUGACUCAGGCUCUGAAGGGACUAAGAACAGGAAGUAUUGUUUACCACAGGGUUGUACUCUGUCACCAUGUGGAGGCUGUUGAUCUCAAUGAAACGGCUCAAUUUGGUGGCAUCAAUGCUUUCAAUGUCUUCGUCCUCUAAAUUCAGUUGUUCAUUGUCUACCUGGAUAACACAAAAAAGAAUGAAGUCACUAUUCCAUCUUUUUUUCAUGUAUUGAUAAACGUCUUUAGACCCCCAUGUGACAGGCACUGAUUAAAGCUCUGAAGACCAAAAGAUAAGUAAGAGAGUUUCUCUGCCCUAGGGGGACAAACUGUCCUGUAGACUCCAAAAAAGUGAAGAGAAAUGUCCCACAUGAUGUGGCAGGUGUCACCACAGGAGAAUCACAGGCCCGCAUGUCACCUAUGGAAGAGCAGAAAAGCUUCAAGGAAGAAGUUACUCCUGAAAAGUGGCUAAGACUUGAUCAGAUAAAUGAGGAUGAGGAAGGAGCUUUAAAUAGAGAACAGCAUAUGCAAAUACUGUGAGAUGUGAGAGGUUGCGUUCUGGAAGCUGCUGUUAGUUCACUGUGACCCUACCAGAUGUGAUGUGAGGGUUGCAGAGAGAUGAGCUUAGAGGGAUAAGGAAGAGCAAAUUUGGAAGUGUUCUGAAGCCAAGGCAUGUAGAUUAAAUUCUAUCUGAGGGCAAGGGGGGUCAUUGGCAAGGUCAGAUUUGUAUUAUAUUUAUGUACCCUUUUACUGUGAAAUAAAACACAUGUAGAGAAAAAUAUAACACAGUAUAAACAUUUGCUGUAAAGCUCAGCAAAUUAUCACAGAGAAAACUAUUGUAGAACCACCACCCAAGUCAAGAAAUAGAAUAUUGCUAGAACCCCUGAAGUCCUG
rnacentral:lncRNA from 1 species